GAUGAACGCUGGCGGCGUGCCUAAUACAUGCAAGUCGAGCGAACAGACGAGGAGCUUGCUCCUCUGACGUUAGCGGCGGACGGGUGAGUAACACGUGGAUAACCUACCUAUAAGACUGGGAUAACUUCGGGAAACCGGAGCUAAUACCGGAUAAUAUAUUGAACCGCAUGGUUCAAUAGUGAAAGACGGUUUUGCUGUCACUUAUAGAUGGACCCGCGCCGCAUUAGCUAGUUGGUAAGGUAACGGCUUACCAAGGCGACGAUGCGUAGCCGACCUGAGAAGGUGAUCGGCCACACUGGAACUGAGACACGGUCCAGACUCCUACGGGAGGCAGCAGUAGGGAAUCUUCCGCAAUGGGCGAAAGCCUGACGGAGCAACGCCGCGUGAGUGAUGAAGGUCUUCGGAUCGUAAAACUCUGUUAUUAGGGAAGAACAAAUGUGUAAGUAACUAUGCACGUCUUGACGGUACCUAAUCAGAAAGCCACGGCUAACUACGUG
rnacentral:rRNA from 1 species